GCCACUCGCCCGGGAAGCUGUGGUCACAGCUGAAGGCUGGGAAAUGAGGGUAUCAUCUAGCUGCUCUUGGAGAAUGAGCUGCAUCUUCCAAGGUGGUAUGCAGCCUUGAACACCUGGCCUGAAUGUGGGACAGCUCCAUCCUCAGACAUAAAUAACACAGGGGCUGUGGAAUAGCCACGGCUGCAUUCCCUAUCCAUGGGACAGACCAGAGCUGAGUGCUGACCACAGGCCAGGCUCUGUCUGAGAAAGACAAGGUUAUGACACAGAGACCGCCCACUUCUGCCUGGUGCACUUCUAGCAGUCCAUCCUGCCAGCUCCCAACAGCCCACGACGGCUAGGAGGAAGAAGUGGCUUGUUUCUUCCUGUGUCCUCCAUUGUUACACCAACCCUGCCAGAGAAACAGGCCGAUAGUUGGGCCUAGCAAAGGCCCUGUGCUGACAGCUAACCACACAAGCUGAGGAAAACCCAAUGCUGUCCCCAAGCAGCUCACCAAGGAGAUGCCAAACUCAAGCCUUCGUGGAAUGGCAGAGCAGAUGUGACUCCAGCUGCUUGACAGAGGGUCCACUCAAGACCCCACUGUGAUCCUCCAAUGUCCUGGCAUAGCCAGCCAAGGUUCUGCUUUUCACUCUAAGCUUCUGAGGCGCUCUGAGAAGGCCGUCCUCACAGGGGAAGCUUGAAGGGGGGCCAGCCCUGAGAUGCAGAGACGAAGGAGCCAUCCUUGCUACACUCCAAACCUCAAAGUUGCACCUCCCUCCCUCUCCACCACAGAUGGAGCUACGAUGACUCCCAGUUUACAGAAGAGGAAACUGAAGCUAACCAGGGUACAAAAGAGGAUGUCUGAAACAUCACAGUAAUUUUACCUUUCCCAAAUGAUGACAAGAGCUGCACCUCAAGAAGUCUAGGAUCCUAGUCUGUCCUGGUGUGUGGUGGGGGCUCUGGAAUCCAGGGAAGGGUCAGCCGGAGAAGACAGUCUGGUCCCUUUGUUUCAGUAGACUCUCUUCCCAGGAGCAAGGACCAAGAAGUGUCGGCCACUCUCCAGACAGAGAUGCCCAUUACCGCCAGCACCCCUGACAGCUCACAGUAUCCGGGAACAAAAGUGGGUCAUGCCAAGUCCUGGGGGCAUAAUGAGAGUCCCGGAAGCCAGCUUUCUCCUGCAUGACCUGGGGCUGCAACAGAUAUGGAAACAGGACUGGGAGGGAUGAGGCACAGCCUCAGAGCUCCCUCGGGCUGGCAGAGGGAGCAGUGUGGGGAAGAUGCAAGCUGCAAAGCCCGCCGUGGAACCCUGUGGGCGCCACCUAAUGGCAAGGAGCCAAGCAAAGAGCAGAUGCCACCAAGUGGGCUGAGCAGCACCUGGCUCAGGGGAUAGGGCAGGUCGCCCAACCUCUCUGGGCCUUUUGUUUCUACCUGCAGAGUGGCAUCAGAGCAGAGCCUGCCUCCAGGGUACAGCAGGCUUGGGGACAAUAAGGGAUGAGGAUGUCAUGCCCAGAACAGGUUCCCUUGAGGGAAGAGGACCUCAAGGGACGAAUGCAGCGGCCCCAUCAGGGGAGGUGCGGUGCACUGUCUCACUGCCUAUCAUUUUCUAGGGUGCGUUCAGUGCCCUUGUUGUACCUUCUAGACCCUUCUAAAGCUGCAACCCUCUCAUACAGUUCUGCAAGUUAUGCUGAAGCCCCAACCAUAGAAUUCUUUUUGU